rnacentral:rRNA from 1 species
UACGUAGGGGGCGAGCGUUGUCCGGAUUUACUGGGCGUAAAGAGCGCGUAGGCGGAAGCUUAAGUGUGGCCUGAAAGCCCCCGGCUCAACCGGGGAGGGUGGCUGCAAACUGGGCUUCUAGAGGGGGAUAGAGGAAAGUGGAAUUCCGGGUGUAGCGGUGAAAUGCGUAGAGAUCCGGAGGAACACCAGUGGCGAAGGCGGCUUUCUGGGUCCGCCCUGACGCUGAGGCGCGAAAGCGUGGGGAGCGAAC